rnacentral:rRNA from 1 species
UAACACGGGGGGUGCAAGCGUUAUUCGGAAUUAUUGGGCGUAAAGCGCACGCAGGCGGUGUGGUCAGUCAGAUGUGAAAGCCCGGGGCUCAACCCCGGAAGUGCAUUUGAAACAGCCACACUUGAGUACUGGAGAGGAAAGGGGAAUUCCUGGUGUAGAGGUGAAAUUCGUAGAUAUCAGGAGGAACACCGGUGGCGAAGGCGCCUUUCUGGACAGAUACUGACGCUGAGGUGCGAAGGUGUGGGUAGCGAACAGGAUUAGAUACCCUGGUAGUCCACACAGUAAACGUUGUUCACUAGGUGCAGCGGGUAUUAACUCCUGCUGUGCCGCAGCUAACGCAUUAAGUGAACCGCCUGGGGAGUACGGUCGCAAGACUA